rnacentral:rRNA from 1 species
UACGAAGGGGGCUAGCGUUGCUCGGAAUCACUGGGCGUAAAGGGUGCGUAGGCGGGUCUUUAAGUCAGGGGUGAAAUCCUGGAGCUCAACUCCAGAACUGCCUUUGAUACUGAGGAUCUUGAGUUCGGGAGAGGUGAGUGGAACUGCGAGUGUAGAGGUGAAAUUCGUAGAUAUUCGCAAGAACACCAGUGGCGAAGGCGGCUCACUGGCCCGAUACUGACGCUGAGACGCGAAAGCGUGGGUAGCAAACAGGAAU